CCUGAGGGGGAAAGAUUUAUUGGCAGGAGAUCGGCCCGCGUUGGAUUAGGUAGUUGGUGGGGUAAAGGCCUACCAAGCCGACGAUCCAUAGCUGGUUUKAGAGGAUGAUCAGCAACACUKGGACUAAGACACGGCCCCAGACUCCUACGGGAGGCAGCAGUGGGGAAUCUUGAACAAUGGGGGCAACCCUGAUCCAGCCAUGCCGCGUGGGUGAUGAAGGCCUUAGGGUCGUAAAGCCCUUUCGCCGGGGAAGAUAAUGACGGUACCCGGUAAAGAAGCCCCGGCUAACUUCGUGCCAGCAGCCGCGGUAAUACGGAGGGGGCUAGCGUUGUUCGGAAUGACUGGGCGUAAAGCGCGCGUAGGCGGGCUGGGAAGUCAGGGGUGAAAUCCCCGGGCUCAACCUCGGAAUUGCCUUUGAAACUCCCAGUCUUGAGUUCGAGAGAGGUGGGUGGAAUUCCGAGUGUAGAGGU
rnacentral:rRNA from 1 species